UCUCCGUUGGUGAACCAGCGGAGGGAUCAUUACAGAGUUUUCACAACUCCCAACCUUUGCGAACCGUACCCAUUCUGUUCUCGUUGCUUCAGGCGGGGGGGACCGGGGGGCCCGAAACGGCCUCCCCGCCCCGCCCGCCGGUGGCGGGGGGCCCUACGAACCUUUAUAGCUCAACCACCAGAAACCGACUGAAAAAACAAACAAAAUAAUCAAAACUUUCAACAACGGAUCUCUACGCUGUGGCAUCGAUGAACAACGCAGCAGAUCGGAAGAACACAC
rnacentral:misc_RNA from 1 species